GGAAGAGGCGUCAAACAGAAGUGUCAACGUGAGAGCUGUGAGAAACAGAAAAGUUUGAAAUGAAAGGAUGAAAUGAGACUGCUGAGGAAAGGUUUGCUGUGCUUGAGAGAAUUUACUCAGGGUUUUAUUUUGUAUUUUUUAACACAGUUAACAAAGGAUUUGACUGUUUUACGGUGUGAUGUUGUUAGCAACACCAUGUGAGUUCUCUCUUAUCUCUUAUAACACGUGAUGUCUCUAGAAGCUGCUCUCGCCAGCAGCACACUGCUCCUCCGCGGCGUGUAGAGGGUGUGUUCAGACGGGAGGGGGCAGUGUGGAGCUGCGCAACCUGCUGCGCUCUUCUGUACAGAUUCGAACCUUGUGACGUGCUGCUGAUGGAUGUGAGUCAAAGGGUCAGCCAAUUUACCCGUUGUCAUGGCAGCACAGAGGUUGACUGGAUGACAGGCAGACACAUGGGUUCACUGCAGAUGCGGGAUGUCAUAGGUCAUUGGAAGCAGCUACGACAGCGACGCCGAUGGCCAAGCGCACGUCAGGACUGUGGCUCCACUCCGUAGUGAGUUUUUUUUUACACAAACACACACAUUUUUUUUUAACUGCUUUUCAAGUGUUUGUUGACUCUACUGUACAUCAAAUUACAUGAUUAUGUUUUUAAAUAACACAUUGCCAAUCUGUAUUUCUAGCUUUUCUAAGUUUCAUAAUCAAAUUUCAGGCCCAUGAGAGCAUGAAAAUCACAAAAGCAAUACUCAAAGACCCAUGUCUAAACUAUUAUAGGAGCAGUUCAACCAAAAAUGAGAAUCAUGUCAUUUAAAUCCCUGUGACUUACUUUUUCUGUAUUUUUUUUUUAAUAUAAUGAAAGCAAAAAAAGCAUCAUGAAAAGGGCCGAAAAAAGUUUGAGGUCAGUAAAAUGUUUAAUGUCUUAUCAAAUGUUUAUGCUAAUCAAGGCUGCAUUUAUUUAUUUUAUUGCAUAAAAUACAGUAAAAACAGUAAGACAAUUUCAAAUAUCUCUUUUCUCUUUUAAUAUGUUUUAAAAUCUAAUUUAUUCCUGUGAUGCAAAGCUGAAUUUUCAGUGUCUCAUGAUCCUGCUCUAGAAUUAUUAUUACCUUUGUAAAUUAUUAUUAUCAAUUUUGAAAACAGCUAUGCUGCUUCAUAUUUUUAUGGGAACAGUGAUGCCUUCAGGAUUCUUUGAUGAACAGAAAGUUCAAAAGAACAGUAUUUAUUUGCAGUAGGAGUCUUUUGUUACAUUGUAAAUGACUUUACUGUCACUUUUGAUCAGUUUAAUGUAUCAUUGCUACAUAAAAUAAUUUAUUUUCUAAAAUUAAUUUAUUUCCAAUAAAUAAAUAAAUAAAACUACUGGUCCUAAAUUU
ensembl:lncRNA